GCAAGUGCAUGUAAGUAGGAGGAUUGAAACUUCCUGUGGAUACAAGAACUACAUAUGUCCUUCUCCUAGAAGCAAGAGAGAGAGUUAGCAACAAGUCGGAUCCAAAACUUAUUUUCAAAUAGUUUUAGCAGUGAACUCGUUGUACUUUUGAUAUUAUGGGUUCAGAUAUUAAACUUGAUGGAAUUCUAGUGAUACUUCACGUAUAAAAUUU
rnacentral:lncRNA from 1 species